rnacentral:rRNA from 1 species
GUAGGGAAUAUUGGACAAUGGGGGCAACCCUGAUCCAGCGACGCCGCGUGAGUGAUGAAGGCCUUCGGGUCGUAAAGCUCUGUUGCAGGGGAAGAACACAAUGACGGUACCCUGCUAGAAAGGAUCGGCUAACUUCGUGCCAGCAGCCGCGGUAAGACGAGGGAUCCUAGCGUUGUUCGGAAUUAUUGGGCGUAAAGCGGGUGCAGGUGGCUUGGUAAGUCAGAUGUGAAAGCCUGGGGCUUAACCCCAGAAGUGCAUUUGAUACUGCUGAGCUUGAGUGCUGGAGAGGCUAUUAGAAUUCCUGGUGUAGUGGUGAAAUACGUAGAUAUCAGGAGGAAUACCGGAGGCGAAGGCGGAUAGCUGGCCAGACACUGACACUCAGACCCGAAAGCGUGGGGAUCAAACCGGAUUAGAAACCCCGGUAGUCC